GCGCCGGUAGCUCAGUUGGAUAGAGUAUCUGGCUACGAACCAGGAGGUCGGGGGUUCGAAUCCUCCCCGGCGCGCCA
rnacentral:tRNA from 1 species